GACGAACGCCGGCGGCGUGCUUAACACAUGCAAGUCGAACGGAAAGGCCCUGCUUUUGUGGGGUGCUCGAGUGGCGAACGGGUGAGUAACACGUGAGUAACCUGCCCUUGACUUUGGGAUAACUUCAGGAAACUGGGGCUAAUACCGGAUAGGAGCUCCUGCUGCAUGGUGGGGGUUGGAACGUUUCGGCGGUUGGGGAUGGACUCGCGGCUUAUCAGCUUGUUGGUGGGGUAGUGGCUUACCAAGGCUUUGACGGGUAGCCGGCCUGAGAUGGUGACCGGCCACAUUGGGACUGAGCUACGGCCCAGACUCCUACGGGAGGCAGCAGUGGGGAAUAUUGCACACUGGGCGGAAGCCUGAUGCAGCAACGCCGCGUGCGGGAUUACGGCCUUCGGGUUGUAAACCGCUUUCGCCUGUGACGAAGCGUGAGUGACGGUAAUGGGUAGAGAAGCACCGGCUAACUACGUG
rnacentral:rRNA from 1 species